rnacentral:rRNA from 1 species
UACGGGGGGGGCAAGCGUUGUUCGGAAUUACUGGGCGUAAAGGGCUCGUAGGCGGCCAACUAAGUCAGACGUGAAAUCCCCAGGCUUAACCUGGGAACUGCGUCUGAUACUGGAUGGCUUGAAUUCGGGAGAGGGAUGCAGAAUUCCAGGUGUAGCGGUGAAAUGCGUAGAUAUCUGGAGGAAUACCGGUGGCGAAGGCGGCAUCCUGGACCGAUACUGACGCUGAGGAGCGAAAGCCAGGGGAGCAAACGGG